UUAGUGUGGAACACAUGAUAAAUCUGUUUUCAUCAAAAUAGCAAAGAGGUAAGAGACAAUAAAAAAAGGACCAGGAAGCACGGAAAUGGAAUUGAGUGGAGAAAAGAGGCCUGAUAGUUGAGUAGGAGCCUGCGAUAAGGCGGAAAAUAUGCUGCUGAGGAGGCUUAUCAGCAGGCAAAGGCAGCCAAGGUUGUUGCCUCAAUAAAAUGGAGGAAGUGCGGAGAUCGGAAAGGUUUUUUCAAGGAAGAAGAAUACGAACAUGGAGUUGCACCAGGGAAGAGGAUUCAUAUCGAAAAUGUCACUUGUUAAGGGGAGGUUGCCUGGGAGACAUCACACACAAACUGUUUUUAUUUUGAAGACCCACUUAAUUUACUGUAAUAUCAAAAUGUAUAUAUUGUGGUUGUAAAUUAAACCACACAUACUCCUUUUAAUUCCCGAUUUAUUUUAAUGUAUCAGUUGUUGUUGCCUGGUGUUGAUUGAAUGAAGAAAAAAAAAGAAAUGGAAAAAAUAUUUUUAUUAUGUUAAAUUUAUUAAAAUGUUUAUUUAAAUGUUUACUAAAGGGAUUUUGUACUUUAUAAUUGGUUAACAUGGUGUAAAGCAAUAAUUUACAAAAAAAAAUUAUUAAAAAAAGAU